GGCCUUUCAUUGCUUUGGGACAUUACCUGUGCUACAGCUGGUGUGGCAGACAGAGACAGGAUAUCACUCAGGGAAUACAGUACCACAAAGGGCCCAUCUGGUGGCACUAUUAGCUGAAGUCUUUAUUUCACAAACAGAAGGACAGAUCUUAUACAAGAAAAAGAAAGAAGGAGAAGGACAUUUCUCACUAAUGGUGCUACUCAUGUUGCAGUGGUCAAGUAAAAUGCUCAAGGUUCAUUUUAUGUGCCUGUAACAUUACCUUCUCUUCAGUCCCAUUCUCAGGAUUCCUACAGCAUAAUGUGAGACAAAUCUACACAAGAUGAGAAUAUCUACGUGUUCAAAAUGCAGACUUUUAACCUGAUACAGUAAGAAAGGAAGUUUGUAAUUGAAAAUUAAUUCAUACUGGGAUGUGCAGUCAAUAGACAAUUACUAAGAUACAGCUUGUGUUUAUUGCUUGAGGAAUUUUACACAAGAUUUAUAACAUCUAAAAGCAAUUACCUUUACAUGUAAAGAACAGUCUAAAAAGAUGAAACUUAAUUACUAUAGAAGCCUUCAAACAUUCUUUAUCUUGUAUAUAUAAUCACCAACCAGAGAGUAAUUAAAAAACAUAAAAAAUUAGAUGUGAAAGUCAGCAUGUUAUCCAUGUCAAAAAGAUUAUAUAAGAAUCCCUACGUUGUCCACAAUUCUUGUUCUAUCAGUUUUACAGGAGAGUGGCACUACUAUUUUACUCCACAUGUAAGAAAUGAAAAUCAGAUCUAAUGUUUAUGAACUUGAGGUCAAAUAGGAUCAAUUUUUUAAUAGUCAGGUGCAUCACUGUCUC
rnacentral:lncRNA from 1 species